rnacentral:rRNA from 1 species
AAGUCGUAACAAGGUUUCCGUAGGUGAACCUGCGGAAGGAUCAUUAUCGAGUUUUGACUGGGUUGUAGCUGGCCUUCCGAGGCAUGUGCACGCCCUGCUCAUCCACUCUACACCUGUGCACUUACUGUGGGCUUCAGAUCGUAAAACGGGUCCCUUUACCGGGCUUGCGGAGCGUGUCUGUGCCUACGUUUAUCACAAACUCUAUAAAGUAUCAGAAUGUGUAUUGCGAUGUAACGCAUCUAUAUACAACUUUCAGCAACGGAUCUCUUGGCUCUCGCAUCGAUGAAGAACGCAGCGAAAUGCGAUAAGUAAUGUGAAUUGCAGAAUUCAGUGAAUCAUCGAAUCUUUGAACGCACCUUGCGCUCCUUGGUAUUCCGAGGAGCAUGCCUGUUUGAGUGUCAUGAAAUCUUCAACCUGCAAGCUUUUGUGGUUUGUAGGCUUGGACUUGGAGGCUUGUCGGCCGUUCUUGGUCGGCUCCUCUUAAAUGCAUUAGCUUGGUUCCUUGCGGAUCGGCUCUCAGUGUGAUAAUGUCUACGCUGCGACCGUGAAGUGUUUGGCGAGCUUCUAACCGUCUCAGUUGGAGACAACUUUAUGACCUCUGACCUCAAAUCAGGUAGGACUACCCGCUGAACUUA